GACCGAGUGCCGCUCACGCCCGG
rnacentral:siRNA from 1 species